rnacentral:rRNA from 1 species
CGGACGGGGGAGUAAUGUCUGGGAAACUAGCCUGAUGGAGGGGGAUAACUACUGGAAACGGUAGCUAAUACCGCAUAACGUCGCAAGACCAAAGAGGGGGACCUUAGGGCCUCUUGCCAUCGGAUGUGCCCAGAUGGGAUUAGCUAGUAGGUGGGGUAACGGCUCACCUAGGCGACGAUCCCUAGCUGGUCUGAGAGGAUGACCAGCCACACUGGAACUGAGACACGGUCCAG